rnacentral:tRNA from 1 species
GCCAAGGUGGCAGAGCCCGGUCAUAUGCGGUGGCCUGCAGAGCCGCUCUACGCCGGUUCGAAUCCGGCCCUUGGCU